rnacentral:rRNA from 1 species
CCUUCGGGAUGGCUAGAGUGGCGAACGGGUGAGUAACACGUAGGUGAUCUGCCCUUGAGUUGGGGAUAGCCCAUGGAAACAUGGGGUAAUACCGAAUACGCUCGCGACCCUGUGGGGAUGCGAGGAAAAGCGCUUCGGCGCUGCUCGAGGAUGAGCCUGCGGCUGAUUAGUUAGUUGGUGGGGUAACGGCCUACCAAGGCGACGAUCAGUAGCCGGCCUGAGAGGGUGAGCGGCCACACUGGGACUGAGAUACGGCCCAGACUCCUACGGGAGGCAGCAGCUAAGAAUCUUCUACAAUGGACGAAAGUCUGAUAGAGCGACGCCGCGUGGGUGAUGAAGGCCGGAAGGUUGUAAAGCCCUUUUCUAUUCGAGGAAUAAGGUGCGGAGGCAAUGCCACACUGAUGACGGUAGGGUAGGAAUAAGCCCCGGCCAAUUACGUGCCAGCAGCCGCGGUAACACGUAUGGGGCGAGCGUUGUUCGGAAUCAUUGGGCGUAAAGGGCGCGUAGGCGGAUAUGCAAGCUUGGUGUGAAAGACCGCAGCUCAACUGCGGGAGCGCGCUGAGAACUGCAUAUCUUGAGUUCAAGAGGGGAAGCUGGAAUUCCAGGUGUAGGGGUGAAAUCUGUAGAUAUCUGGAAGAACAUCAGUGGCGAAGGCGAGCUUCUGGCUUUGAACUGACGCUGAGGCGCGAAAAGCGUGGGGAGCGAACAGGAUUAGAUACCCUGGUAGUCCACGCUGUAAACGAUGUGCACUA